CCCUUAGACGUUCUGGGCCGCACGCGCGCUACACUGACGAAGGCAACGAGCUUUCCUUUACCGAAAGGUACGGGUAAUCUUUUGAAACUUCGUCGUGCUGGGGAUAGAUCCUUGCAAUUAUUGAUCUUAAACGAGGAAUUCCUAGUAAGCGCAAGUCAUCAACUUGCGUUGAUUACGUCCCUGCCCUUUGUACACACCGCCCGUCGCUACUACCGAUUGAAUGGUUUAGUGAGGCCUUCGGAUCCGCGACUCGUUUUGUGGAGAAGUUGGACAAACUCAGUCAUUGAGAGGAAGUAAAAGUCGUAACA
rnacentral:rRNA from 1 species